rnacentral:rRNA from 1 species
AUUGAACGCUGGCGGCAUGCCUUACACAUGCAAGUCGAACGGUAACAGGUCUUCGGAUGCUGACGAGUGGCGAACGGGUGAGUAAUACAUCGGAACGUGCCCGAGAGUGGGGGAUAACGAGGCGAAAGCUUUGCUAAUACCGCAUACGAUCUCAGGAUGAAAGCAGGGGACCGCAAGGCCUUGCGCUCACGGAGCGGCCGAUGGCAGAUUAGGUAGUUGGUGGGAUAAAAGCUUACCAAGCCGACGAUCUGUAGCUGGUCUGAGGGGACGACCAGCCACACUGGGACUGAGACACGGCCCAGACUCCUACGGGAGGCAGCAGUGGGGAAUUUUGGACAAUGGGCGCAAGCCUGAUCCAGCCAUGCCGCGUGCAGGAUGAAGGCCUUCGGGUUGUAAACUGCUUUUGUACGGAACGAAAAGACUCCUUCUAAUAAAGGGGGUCCAUGACGGUACCGUAAGAAUAAGCACCGGCUAACUACCUGCCAGCCGCCGCCGUAACAC